CAGUAGCCGCGGUAAUACGGAGGAUCCAAGCGUUAUCCGGAAUCAUUGGGUUUAAAGGGUCCGUAGGCGGUCUUGUAAGUCAGUGGUGAAAGCCCAUCGCUCAACGGUGGAACGGCCAUUGAUACUGCAGGACUUGAAUUAUUGGGAAGUAACUAGAAUAUGUAGUGUAGCGGUGAAAUGCUUAGAGAUUACAUGGAAUACCAAUUGCGAAGGCAGGUUACUACCAAUUGAUUGACGCUGAUGGACGAAAGCGUGGGUAGCGAACAGGAUUAGAUACCCCAGUAGUCCCUGUCUCUUAUAU
rnacentral:rRNA from 1 species